GAUGAAGAACGUAGCGAAAUGCGAUAAGUAGUGUGAAUUGCAGAAUUCAGUGAAUCAUCGAAUCUUUGAACGCACAUUGCGCCCUAUGGUAUUCCGUAGGGCAUGCCUGUCCGAGCGUCAUUACAACCCUCAAGCUCUGCUUGGUAUUGGGCUCUGCCGGUCCUGGCAGGCCUCAAAGUCAGUGGCGGUGCCAUCCGGCUCCAAGCGUAGUAAUUCUCCUCGCUUCGGAGGCCGCGGUGCGUGCUAGCCAGCAACCCCCAAUUUUUUUCAGGUUGACCUCGGAUCAGGUAGGGAUACCCGCUGAACUUAAGCAUAUCAAUAAGCGGAGGA
rnacentral:misc_RNA from 1 species